AGUGAACGUUGGCGGUAGGCCUAACACAUGCAAGUCGAACGGCAGCACAGUAAGAGCCUGCUCUUACGGGUGGCGAGUGGCGGACGGGUGAGGAAUACAUCGGAAUCUACUUUUUCGUGGGGGAUAACGUAGGGAAACUUACGCUAAUACCGCAUACGACCUACGGGUGAAAGCAGGGGAUCUUCGGACCUUGCGCGAUUGAAUGAGCCGAUGUCGGAUUAGCUAGUUGGCGGGGUAAAGGCCCACCAAGGCGACGAUCCGUAGCUGGUCUGAGAGGAUGAUCAGCCACACUGGAACUGAGACACGGUCCAGACUCCUACGGGAGGCAGCAGUGGGGAAUAUUGGACAAUGGGCGCAAGCCUGAUCCAGCCAUACCGCGUGGGUGAAGAAGGCCUUCGGGUUGUAAAGCCCUUUUGUUGGGAAAGAAAAGCAGCAGGUUAAUACCCCGCUGUUCUGACGGUACCCAAAGAAUAAGCACCGGCUAACUUCGUG
rnacentral:rRNA from 1 species